AUUGAACGCUGGCGGCAGGCCUAACACAUGCAAGUCGAACGAGUGGCGGACGGGUGCGUAAUGUCUGGGAAACUGCCUGAUGGAGGGGGAUAACUACUGGAAACGGUAGCUAAUACCGCAUACCAUCGGAUCUGCCCAGAUGGGAUUAGCUAGUAGGUGGGGUAAAGGCUCACCUAGGCGACGAUCCCUAGCUGGUCUGAGAGGAUGACCAGCCAAACUGGAAUUGAGACACGGGCCAGACUCCUACGGGAGGCAGCAGUGGGGAAUAUUGCACAAUGGGCGAAAGCCUGAUGCAGCCAUGCCGCGUGUAUGAAGAAGGCCUUCGGGUUGUAAAGUACUUUCAGCAGGGAGGCGUUACCCGCAGAAUAAGCACCGGCUAACUACGUGCCAGCAGCCGCGGUAAUUC
rnacentral:rRNA from 1 species